rnacentral:rRNA from 1 species
CAGAGGGUGCGAGCGUUAAUCGGAAUUACUGGGCGUAAAGCGCACGUAGGCGGCUUGGUAUGUCGGGUGUGAAAUCCCCAGGCUCAACCUGGGAACUGCAUCCGAAACUGCCUUGCUCGAGUAUGGGAGAGGGAAGUGGAAUUUCCGGUGUAGCGGUGAAAUGCGUAGAUAUCGGAAGGAACAUCAGUGGCGAAGGCGACUUCCUGGACCAAUACUGACGCUCAGGUGCGAAAGCGUGGGGAGCAAACAGGAUUAGAUACCCUGGUAGUCCACGCCCUAAACGAUGAGAACUGGAUGUCGGGAGGGUCUGCCUUCCGGUGUCGUAGCUAACGCGUUAAGUUCUCCGCCUGGGAAGUACGGCCGCAAGGUUG